AGGGUUUGAUCAUGGCUCAGGAUGAACGCUGGCGGCGUGCUUAACACAUGCAAGUCGAACGAACCUUCGGGUUAGUGGCGGACGGGUGAGUAACGCGUGAGAAUCUGCCCUCAGGAGGGGGAUAACGGUUGGAAACGACCGCUAAUACCCCAUAUGCCUACUGGUGAAAUGAAUUUCGCCUGAGGAUGAGCUCGCGUCUGAUUAGCUAGUUGGUGAGGUAAUGGCUCACCAAGGCUUCGAUCAGUAGCUGGUCUGAGAGGAUGAUCAGCCACACUGGGACUGAGACACGGCCCAGACUCCUACGGGAGGCAGCAGUGGGGAAUUUUCCGCAAUGGGCGAAAGCCUGACGGAGCAACGCCGCGUGAGGGACGAAGGCCUCUGGGCUGUAAACCUCUUUUCUCAAGGAAGAAGAUAUGACGGUACUUGAGGAAUAAGCCACGGCUAAUUCCGUGCCAGCAGCCGCGGUAAUACGGGAGUGGCAAGCGUUAUCCGGAAUUAUUGGGCGUAAAGCGUCCGCAGGCGGCUUUUCAAGUCUGCUGUUAAAGCGUGGAGCUUAACUCCAUCAUGGCAGUGGAAACUGAAAGGCUUGAGUAUGGUAGGGGCAGAGGGAAUUCCCGGUGUAGCGGUGAAAUGCGUAGAUAUCGGGAAGAACACCAGUGGCGAAGGCGCUCUGCUGGGCCAUUACUGACGCUCAUGGACGAAAGCCAGGGGAGCGAAAGGGAUUAGAUACCCCUGUAGUCCUGGCCGUAAACGAUGAACACUAGGUGUCGGGGGAAUCGACCCCUUCGGUGUCGUAGCUAACGCGUUAAGUGUUCCGCCUGGGGAGUACGCACGCAAGUGUGAAACUCAAAGGAAUUGACAGGGGCCCGCACAAGCGGUGGAGUAUGUGGUUUAAUUCGAUGCAACGCGAAGAAUCUUACCAGGGUUUGACAUCCUGCGAACCUCUUAGAAAUUUGAGGGUGCCUUCGGGAAUGCAGUGACAGGUGGUGCAUGGCUGUCGUCAGCUCGUGUCGUGAGAUGUUGGGUUAAGUCCCGCAACGAGCGCAACCCACGUUUUUAGUUGCCAGCAUUUAGUUGGGCACUCUAGAAAGACCGCCGGUGAUAAACCGGAGGAAGGUGUGGAUGACGUCAAGUCAUCAUGCCCCUUACACCCUGGGCUACACACGUACUACAAUGCUACGGACAAAGGGCAGCAAACUCGCGAGAGCUAGCAAAUCCCAUAAACCGUGGCUCAGUUCAGAUCGUAGGCUGCAACUCGCCUACGUGAAGUAGGAAUCGCUAGUAAUCGCAGGUCAGCAUACUGCGGUGAAUACGUUCCCGGGCCUUGUACACACCGCCCGUCACACCAUGGAAGUUGGCCAUGCCCGAAGUCGUUACUCCAACCCUUGUGGAGGAGGACGCCGAAGGUGGGGCUAAUGACUGGGGUGAAGUCGUAACAAGGUAACCGUA
rnacentral:rRNA from 1 species